AAAGCGUGCGCAGGCGGUUAUACAAGACAGAGGUGAAAUCCCCGGGCUCAACCUGGGAACUGCCUUUGUGACUGUAUGGCUAGAGUGUGUCAGAGGGGGGUAGAAUUCCACGUGUAGCAGUGAAAUGCGUAGAUAUGUGGAGGAAUACCGAUGGCGAAGGCAGCCCCCUGGGAUAACACUGACGCUCAUGCACGAAAGCGUGGGGAGCAAACAGGAUUAGAUACCCUUGU
rnacentral:rRNA from 1 species